UACGUAGGGUGCGAGCGUUAAUCGGAAUUACUGGGCGUAAAGCGUGCGCAGGCGGUUUUGUAAGCCAGAUGUGAAAUCCCCGGGCUUAACCUGGGAAUGGCAUUUGGGACUGCAAGGCUGGAGUGCGGCAGAGGAGACUGGAAUUCCUGGUGUAGCAGUGAAAUGCGUAGAGAUGUGGAGGAAUACCGAUGGCGAAGGCAGCCCCCUGGGAUAACACUGACGCUCAUGCACGAAAGCGUGGGGAGCAAACAGG
rnacentral:rRNA from 1 species